UACGUAAGGACCGAGCGUUGUCCGGAAUCAUUGGGCGUAAAGGGUACGUAGGCGGUUAGAAAAGUUAGAAGUGAAAGGCUAUAGCUCAACUAUAGUAAGCUUUUAAAACUGCUAGACUUGAGAGAUUGAGGGGAAAGUGGAAUUCCUAGUGUAGCGGUGAAAUGCGCAGAUAUUAGGAGGAAUACCAGUGGCGAAGGCGACUUUCUGGCAAUCAUCAGACGCUGAGGUACGAAAGCGUGGGUAGCAAACAGG
rnacentral:rRNA from 1 species